rnacentral:rRNA from 1 species
UACGUAGGGGGCAAGCGUUGUCCGGAUUUAUUGGGCGUAAAGAGCGUGUAGGCGGCUUUACAGGUCCGUUGUGAAAACUCGAGGCUCAACCUCGAGACGCCGGUGGAAACCGUAAAGCUAGAGUCCGGAAGAGGAGAGUGGAAUUCCUCGUGUAGCGGUGAAAUGCGCAGAUAUCAGGAAGAACACCUAUGGCGAAGGCAGCUCUCUGGGACGGUACUGACGCUGAGACGCGAAAGCGUGGGGAGCGAACAGG